CGUUAGCAAGGGAAUGGAAUGAGACACAAUCGCCGGUCUCUAAAGGCCAAAAGACUCAUACAGGAACACAAAUCAAUAGAAUCAGGGAAUCAAUUCAGCCCAAUCUUCAGAUUGCCACCUGCAAGACGGAUGCUUCGUGGGACGCGACUCGAUACAAGUCAGGCCUAGCUUGGAUCAUAAUCAAAGCAGCGAGUACUUCUGUGAGGGAAGGACCAUCGGUCCACAACUAUGUCGAUUCACCGUUGGUCGCUGAAGCUCUGGCGAUCAAGGAAUGGCUUUACAUGGAUUCAAAUCAAGGGAUCUCAAAUCUCUGGGUCUGCUCUGACAACUUAACGCUCAUUGGAGUAAUCAACAACAUGACACAAAGGAAGGAAUUGUUGGGAAUCAUCAAAGACAUCCAUGAUUUGUCUUCUGUAUUUGUUUCGAUCGCCUUUUUUUCAUACUCCUAGGGAGAACAACGAGGAGGCAGACGAUUUAGCUAAAGCCGUCCUCAUAAACUCAUGUUUGUAAUGGACCAUUUUUGGACUGGGCCUCUAGGCUCUAUUUUAAGGUAUUUUGUGACAAAAAAGGAUAAUUUGAAGAAAGAAAAUGAAAUGAAUCUAUAUAUAAUAGCAAACCUGAAUUUUUUAAUUGCUGAUGUCACUAUUUUUUUGUAGGAAAAUAAAAAUCAAAUCCCACGGUGAAGAUUGUUGCUGUUAUUAGAUCAAACGGAUGAGAUUUUGUUAAGGAUAAAACUAUGAUGUCAUCGAUUCAGUACAAUCAUCGUCUUCAAUCCACCGAAUCGUAACUUCUCAAAGGCGCCUUUUACACAAAUCGCAAAACCGUUAUUAUCUCAAGAGUCGUCUCUUUUCGCAAACUCAUUAAUAUAAUAAAUUCUACAGGUUUGUAUAUUUCUUGUAGUUCAUUAAUCGGUUUCUCUCCUUCUUUUCUUGUCUCUUCUGUUUUUUCUUCUCUCUGUUUCCCCCACAUCCAAAAAUCCUGUCAAAUUCUUUUUUCUCUGGACAUUCAUUGCCGUUGAUCAAUACCAUAUUCCUCACGCCCUCGCUCCUUCCCACCAAUUGCUCUUUGAAAUGAAACAAACUUAAAGGAAAACAGAGAGAGUAAAAAGAGAAAUUAAAAUAAUGAAACUGAUUAUGUUUGCCGAGAAACAUAUUUUGCUUACAAGGGAUGACAGAUCCUGAUGAAUGAUAUGGUAUAGGUUGAGGGACCAUCCUUACAGACUCGUAGUCGAAUCACAACAGAAUAAGAUUAGUUAAAGGAACUCAUUCAAGAGAUUGUUCUGGGAUGUAAGAAGUUAUUGGGUGUAGACGUGGCUUUUAUGCUCGAUGUAUUUGUUAUAACUUGGUGCUUGUCAUCACCGAGAAGGCUGAUGGAAUCAUCUACUACGUUCAGUGAUUGCAACAGCAGGUUCUUUCUGCUAAGAAAAUAUCCCAAUGACGGUAGAAUUUUGAAAAAAAAAAAUUAGUUUGCGUGAGGUUUUGGUUCUGAUGUUUUUUGUGUCAGACUGCUUCAUUUUCUACAGUGUCGUUGUCUAUCAAACUCAGGACGGUGAAAUUCAUAACUGAACAUUGAUAGAGACAUGAUUCUUGCUUAAGUGGCGAGAAGCUUUGUAUCCAUCCCAAAACUUGACGAUGAAAUAAUUAAUAGCUUGCAAGUUAAGAAACUAUGUUAAUGUUGUUUUCUCCGUUUGGCUUCUGCGCCGAAGAGAUAGUAACACCGUUGUUAAAUUCUUUUCACCUGUUUUCAAGGGACGGAACCGGAAAUUUUUACCACCAAAUCCACAAUUCAAUCCAUUACCACAUGUAAGCAACAGCAGUGAAACCUUAUAUCUCUGACACAUUGUUUUUAUCCCAACGUAUAGACAACACUAGAGAACUGCUACAAAACAUCUUACCAAAUAAUGAUGUGCUCAACUCCAGUAACCAUGUCUACUACCUCACUUCAAAGUGGAAGAAAAAGGGACAAAAACUUGCUUCUUUUUAUCUCUUAUCCUUUUUGUCUUCACUGAUAACUUUCUUUUACAAAUCUUUUUUUUUUUUUUUGAACUUUUUAUUUUACAAAUCUUCAUGCGUAGCAUUAGAAGUUGCCACUUGUUUAGAUCCGUUCGUCUAGCUUAACUUUAAAGAUUGAAAUGGUGGAUACCACCGUCAUAACAAAUUAGAGAUAAGUAACCUAUUCCAUUUUACAACGAAUUUAAAAAUAGUAUGUGCAUGAAAACGUCGAGCAUAUUUGCUUACAGAUAGGAGCGUACAUUUAAUAUAUAAAUUUGUAUAUCGUAUUCUCAAUUGCAAAUUAUAGUUUCAGAAUAAUAUCAACCUGAGAUUUGAUAAAAGAAAUAUAUUAUAUUAUGUGAAGAUAUUUGAAAUCUAUAGAAUUUCAAAACAAUUUAGAAAUAUCAAGAAAGUCUACUUUUAACCGGUUGCUGGUAGUAUGAAGUUUCAAAAAUAUUAUCUAUGGUUUGUUGAAUAAAUGUUAUUCAGAUGUACAAGAACUGACACUUACUAUAUAAUGUUUUUCUGAAUAUAUAAUUUAAUUAGGAAAAAAAAAUAAAUGUUUUGCUGAAAAUUUAAUUGAAUCAUUUACAGCAAUUUAAUAUGUAUUUUUUUUUAUCAAAUGAGACUUUUUAUAAAGCUAAGCUCCACUAACGAAGGCUAAGUUUACAUAUGCUAGGCUGUUAUGAAAGUUUAUCAGCAACCCCAUUACACAACCCGGCAACGAAACAAAAUCACAGAGAAUUAACGGAAAAGCAUGAAGACGAGAUAGUCUCCAAAAUACUACACAAGAGGAGUUGGAAGUAAGGAGAGAGAACAAUUUAAUUAAACCAUUAUAGUCGUCUAUUAUAUACUAUUAUAUUUUUGUAUAUAAAUAUUUUUAAACAAUAUAUUGUUGAGAGUUUCAAAAUAAAUAAAAUAUAUAUAUAUAAAUAUAUAUAUAGUUAUAGAUAUAAAAGUUUAACCUACGUCAAUAAAUUUAUUUUUGCAUAUUAUAUAGUUUACGAAUUUUAACCAAUUUUAAUGAUGAGUGAUCAUUUAUUUAAACGAAACAAUUUAAGAAAUAUUUUCCUUUAAUUUUCCUAUUUAAUAUAAUUUCGUCAUGUUUAAUUUUAUAUAAUACAGAAAUUAUAAAUUUAUAAAAAAAAUAGCAUAGAAUUUUUCUUUCUUGUUUUAUAAUAAAAUUUUAAUUAACAUUGUUUUAUAAUAAUAUUAUGCUACUAAUUACGCAAUUAAUUAAUGUGUUAGUUUAUAAAAUAUUUAAAUUUUUGUAAGAUUUUGUUUUCUUUCUCAACAUAUUUUUUUAUAAUUAAAAAAUAAAAUUCAAAUUUAUAGUUGAUUUAUGAUUAAUGUAAAUAAUCAAAUAUUUUGUAAUAAAUAAUUCUUUAACUGGUCCUACUAUGACUUGUUAAUAGUAGAUAAAAAUAGAACCAUAAAUUAAUAGAUUAGAUAGAGUAGUAUAUUGUUGGUUUAAUUUAAGUUGUCCAGUUCUAAUGUAAUAGUAGCGUCUAAUAUAAUUAUAUUGUAACUAACUCGAUAUGAUCAAUAAAUUAAGUAAUAUACUAACAAAUUUGAAACAAUUUAAAACUUAAAUGACAAUUUUAAUGGAAGUUGGAAUAGGAAUCUAUUUUAAUAGAGUAGAUUAUAUCAUUGCAGCUAAUUUGGUAAACAUUUGCAAAUAUAAAUGUUCCAACUGUUGAACUAAUGCAACAGAUGAUGAUCAACCAUUGCAACCCAACAUUAUUGACCAUUUCAGUCUCGAUACCAUUGGAAUCUUAAAAAAAUCAUUAUAAAUUUUGUUUACUAUAUAAUAUCUGUGGGUAUUUUCAAAAUCCAACACAAAUAUGUUUGAAAUUAACAUAUAAAGUUUAUUGAAAACUUAAUUAAAUUAUUUAUAAUUUAAGCAAACCAUUGUAUUUGUAUAUGAACAUUUGAAUUGUUUAAAUGCUCCAUUGCUGUGAGAUAGUUAGCCAUCGGAUGAUCAACCAUUAUAACGUCUCAUGAUCAGCCACUAUAAUCCAAUUAACCAUAGCAAACUUCAAAUUUAAAUAUUAAAACCUUACGUUUCAAUAUAAGAAAUUGUGAGCAUUGACAAAUUCUAACAUAAAAUAAGGGAAAAUUCUAUUAAAAAAAUCUCAACUAAAUUUUGUUAAGUUUUUUGAUACUCAGAUUUCUUUACUACCCAAUUUAAUACCUCAACUUAUUAUUUUCCCAUACUUUCAAAAUCAUGCUCAUUGUAAUACACAAAUUGUGUUUAUUUUAUUGGACUUAUUAAUAAGUUUCAAAUAAAAUUUUAAAAUCUCAAAAAUUCACGAAACAAUCUUACAAAUUCUAAUUUUAUUUUAAGUCUUAGAAAUAAAAGUAACCAAAUUUUAGAUAGUCUUAAAUUGUGUAAUAAAAAUUUUAAAUUUUAAAUAUCAAAUUUGGUUUAUUUUUGGAAAUAAAAAAAAAAUUAUUUAUUUUUUUGUUAAAAAAUAAGUUUUUAUAAAUUUAAACAUUUCUCCAUAAUUUAGUUAGUUUCUUUUCUAUAACUUAAUAAAAAAGUGGGAAUUUAAAAGAUUUUUUCUUAGAUUUUAGAGAUUUUUAAAUUUUUGUUUGAAAGUUAUUGAUAUUUUGAUUAAAAUAAAAAAAUGUUGGGUAUUAAAAUAAGCACACUUUAAAAAGUUUGUGUAUUAAAAUGGACAAAAUAUUUAAUUGAGGUGUUAAAGUGGAUAGCGAAAAACUUUGGAUAUUAAAAAGUUAAACAAAAUUUAGUUGAAAUAUUUUUUAUGGAAUAUUUUCCUAAAAAGAAUAUCAAAAAAAAAUAAAAUUAAAGAAGAAAAUAGAUAGAAAUUCAUCACUCUAAAUUAUUAUAAAAUGUAUUUGGUGAAAAUUGAAGUUCUAUUUGUAUUUAUUGUAUAUUUUCCUUCUAUAAUAGGACAUUUUUU